UCAUGAUGUACAACUUUUUAAAUUAAUUUUUUGUUCUUUGCAGGAUAUUUGUCCUCUUCAUUAUCAGAAAUGCCCUUCAGAAGAGGUUCUUCCUUAGAUUUUGAAGAUCAGAUCUGAUUCAAUAAGGUAGGGUAAGAGGCAUAUAGAGAAAUCAAAUAAUCUAUCCUGAGAGCAUGCAAGCACUCUAGUAAUAAAAUCCCAGUGAACCCUGGCUAUAACUCUUUUGAUGUCCUCAUCAGUGGCCACAGUCCUCCAAGGAUUGAUGAAAAAGAACCAGGAUCCAGUGACCUCCACUGUGUGGUUGGGAUUUUGUACCAUAGUGACCAGGACAGCUCCCAGGGGGAAGACCAGCUAACAGCCGCUCUUAACACUUGCCUUCCAUUGGAGCGUGCCCAGUGGUGGGGCACCCGUGUUGGAUGGGUCUGUGAACUGAUAUGAUGUUUUUCUUGCCCAGAAAUUCUGCAAACUAAAAGAUUGAAGGCAAUGUACAAAUAAUAUACUUGAAGGCAAGAACAUCCAGUGUAGUACGUUAGAAAGUCACACACAAACAUUUCUGUCCAGCCUUUCAUUCCAGCCUCUUAACAGUGAUACCCUUUUAACAUUUGAUUAGUGAUCAAAUGUUGUUGACUUAUUGUGAUAAUGUUUAAAUAUUUGUUUUAAAUAGAUUUGACACAUAGGUGGCACUCAUGCUUGAAAAACAGAUAAUACAAUUAUAUUUUGGAUUUUGUUUGGUAAAAUAACAUUUAGCUUUUCAUAGACCAUGCAGUGUCAUCUCAUAAAUAUUGCAAAUUAGAUUGCUUUAAAAUUAUGUUCUGAGAAGCUAAUCACUCUAUUUUCUAUGUUUAUUAGGUGAUAAAGCAUAAUUGGUAUAUUUAAAAUAAUAAACUUUGAGAGAAGAUUGUAUCGUAGCCUACA
rnacentral:lncRNA from 1 species